GGAGAUCCAGGUGAACGUCGCCCAAGGAGUCAGACGGAUUCACCGUACGUUUCGACCGUGGUUGCCCACCCUAAACAACCCCGGCGACCAACUAACCAUAUGGCGAUUCCCAGCGUGUAGGUAAUAGUGCAGAAAGGGCGCUCACCCGAGUCCGUGAUGAUGAUGGCGCAAUACACGAAGAGGUGCGGAGACGGUGCUCCGACAAGAAAUUGCCGCGGCUGGAUCGGCAAUCCAGCCCUAGAAUUCCCACGGGUAGUCACACGAUGUCUCUGGGGAAGCCCAGACCACGGCCAAUAGGUUUCUACGGCGGUGUACGGGGAAGUCAAUGGCGGCGGCCUCCAGCUGGGGUGAGGCUCUUGGUUCUUCGUAGGUUAGAGGAUUCGGAUGGUUAGGGUUACUAGAGGAGAGGUGGCGCAUGACAGCUUUAUGGCAAGCGGAGUAUGAACUCGCCAGCAACGACGCCGACGGAAAAGGGGGAAAGUUCGCUGCAGAUCUCGCGUGGUUUGUUGCCGCGACAGCGCAAAGGGAUGACAGGUG
rnacentral:lncRNA from 1 species